CUUCACCAAAGUCAAUGACACACUCUCACCAGCACGUCCAAAGUCGAGGGGAAGCACAGACACUGCUGUCAGCUAUUCCAAAGAUGUGCUAAGAUGUUGAGAGGAAAGCAGGAAGUCCAGCAUCCUCCAGACCCUUAAAGCUCCCAAGAUCCUCCUUCAGCCAAAGUGACAGGAAGGGAAGCUGAGGGUCAUCCCGGAAAGAGGGAGGAGAAGAAUCUGCUUUGGGGAGUAGCAGAGGGAGUGGAAGACGAUUUCAGGAUGGGGAAGAAUUGGAUUGAGAGGACCGAAGGGAAUAUGAGGGUGAGAGAA